UUCCAGAAAAUGGGAAUAAAGCUAAUACUGUGCCAAUAUUUAAAAAGUGUAAAAGAGGUGACCCAGCUAAUUACAGGAGUGUUAGUCUGACAUCGAUACUGGGCAAGAGAAUGGAGCAGUGAAUAUGGAUUUAAUUAAUAAAGAAUUAAAGGAGGAUAAUAUAAUUAGUGCCUAUUAACAAAGGUUCAGAGAUAAUAGAGCCUAUCAAACUAACUGGAUAUCCUUAUUGGAUGAGAUCAAAAGUUUGGCUGCAACUAAUAGUAUUGAUGUAACAUACCUAGACUUCUGUAAGGCAUAUGACCUGGUUCGGCACAACAUUUUGACUAGAAAACUAGAAAGAUACAAAACACACACGGCAUACAUUAAAUAGAUUGAAAACUGUGAUUGUAAAUGGGAAGCCGUGAUCGAGUGGAUUUCUUUCCAGGAGGUUCGCACAAGGAUUGGUUCUUGGCCCUGUGCUAUUUAACAUUCUUAUUAAUGACCUAGAAGAAAAUAUAAAGUCAUCACUGAUAAAGUUUGCAGUUGCCACAAAGAUUGGGGGUGGUAGUAACUAAUGAAGUGUCAGUAGAUUCUGGCUCCAGCAUUGGGAGCCUGGGAAGUUUUCCCAGCCCUGGCUGGGGGGUUAUUGCCUCUUCCACAAAGAGGGGAAGUUCCGUUCCCAACCCCUGUGGCUUGAAAUUAGGCCCCAUCUGACACUACACCCCACAUUCAGCAUAGUGGUAGGAUUAUAUUAUCAUUAGGACAUAAUGAUGAGGCAUUUUGUGCAAGAUGUGUCAUGUGCGAUGUCACCGGAAAAGUUAUGAUUUGCUGACUAUGAUUAUCCUACCUGUGUGCAUGGAUCAUGUUUGUAUCUGAAGUUAUGGAUAUUGACUCUGUAUCUGUAUUUCACAUGUGCUUACUCUGGGUUACACCCACAACAAGCCUUUCAGGCACAACAGUGAAGAAGCCAGACAGUGCUGAAGGCUCAUCAACCAAGACAAUGGACCAUGGAAGAGCUUAGCCCCCCUGUGAAUUUGUCAGCCAGCCUAGGAGUCAUGGCUACUAUGACUCAGCAGGGCAUGUGACCAGACCACAUGACAAUGAACUUCAUUUUGGUACCUGUAUUUUUCCACUAACUGAACUGGGAACUGAGUUUGGAACAAAGGGUUCCCGCCAUAUGGAAAAGCUACGUAAGGUGGGGUGCGACAUCAUCUCUUGGCCUCAUUCCCCACACAAGGGAACUCCUGGAAGCACCUGAGGUACAAAAACUGAAGUGGGGGAAGUGUUUGUUCCAGGCUAAAGGGAUUUCUAGCUUGUGUAUGGAAACUUGGGGGACUGCUUCUAUCGUCAAUCAGGUUAUUACAAGACUGGCUACAAGUGUUGUCUUUCUUGUGAGUUCUAAGAUUCAGCUGACCUAAGGAAGUGACUGGUCCUUUGGUACUGGCAGUAACCUGAACAUCGCUGUGAUUUGUAGGUCUGCCUGAGGCUCCUGCUCGUGCUCUCGAGUCACUGGGAACAGCGUUACAGAGACUUACAGGCACAACAGCAGCAACUGGCAGCAAUGCAGAGCAGGCUUUACAGGGACACAGUGUGGGCCAAAUGGUCCCUGGAUUCAGUCAAGCCCCAGUUCUCCUCCAGCACAUGUCAGCAUCCCGGCAACCUUCAAGGGGGUUCAAGGCUGCCACCCCUUCAGUGAUGGAUCUGCAGCAGAUCAUCUCCCGCGCCCCAUGACCCACCUUGUCUCCUCAGACAGAGGUGAGUGACAGAGGGGGCAGGACGGAUCCAGGAGGUAGGGAAAGGGAUAACAAAACACACCUUCUGGGGUCACCCGUCAGGAAGUGAAGGUGACAGACACUGUGGUGGCAGUAAAGGGGGAGGGGAGGGAGUGGGAGCAGCACCCUGAAGGGCAAUGCUGCCAGUGGGUCUCCCCACCACAUCAGGCAUGGGGCUGAUAGGGGGCCAUUCCCUGGGCCUGGGUGCCUGUGAAGGGCUAUUUAAACCCCACGCUGGUACAGAAGGAGUUAAACUGCUGCUUUAGUCUGGACUGGCCCAGCCUCUCCACACCUGCAAACCAUGUCAGGACUGGAGCAGGAGUUAACAGGAGAGACCUACUCUACUCUGGGGGGUGGGAAGGGAACAGUCUGUGGAGCAUCUCCAGCCCCAAGGAGAGGGCUGGCAGCAUUCGGGGCUCUGGCCUUCACUGAGAGAGGGUGGGGAUCCCUGGAGCUCAAAGGGGGAGCAGGUUAAAACUUGCACUGGGGACCCAGUAAGCUAUGAAGGGGACUGAGACACUCCCAGGGCUCUCAGAAGUAAGAAGGGCCCAUAUCCUGAUGGGAGCUGUUCACAGUUCUUUCCCCAUUUCUUUCUUUCAUUCCUUUAUUUAGCCUUGUGUGCCGACAGUCAGCUCUUUUGCUGUUUCACCUGGUGCCCCGAGAGAGGAAGAAAGUGCCCCGAGGCCUCAGCCAGGGGGUUGAGCCUGACACACUAGAAGGAUGUGCCCGUAGCACCCCAGGGGCAGGGGCCAAUGGGACUCACAGAGCUGCACCCCAGAAGGCCUAAGGCCCAGCGGUUUGGCACCAGUUUGAUGGGCUGGAUGGCCUCUCCCUGGGGGCUGCCAGCAGCCUGGCACAUGGAGUAGUUACGGGUGGCUUGGGGAGCAGGAAGCAGGGCAGUGUCCCAGACAGCACACCAAGAAGGGUAAUAGAGAGGGGACGAGGGGCACUGCAGUGAACUCAGCACCUGUCCUGAAGGCCAUUUGCAGAAAUUCGUCCUCUCCCUGGCCUAUGGGGAUUAGGCAGUGACACAAACGGUCACUUGGUCUUU